ACGCAUGGCUCCAAGCCUCUCCCAGCCCUCCUUUUGAGCCCAGGAGUCCAGCCAGCUCUGCGCUUCUCCCAUGCAUCUGAUGGAUUCCAACCUGAUGAUCCGUGGCAGAGUGACCUCUAGACUUUAUACAAGUUGUAACCUCCUUCUCUUUACCCCCUUGACUCUCUGAGGGGCAGGGAAACUGAGUCCUGGCAAGGUGGAGGGCAGCUGAAGAAAAGGACCAGAUGUCUAGCAUCCCAGCUGUUAGGCAGGCAAGGCACCCCAGCCACAUGGCAGCCACAUACACUGGACAGACCAGGACACGUGUGUAGGAUAUCAGGUCCAUCCCCCAGCACCCACGGCAGCUCUGGGGCAGACCAUGGUUAAGAAUCCGCCUGCCAACGCAGGGGACAUGGGUUUGAGCCCUGGUCCGGGAAGAUCCCACAUGCCCCAGAGCAAUUAAGCCCGUGCACCACAACUACUGAGCCUGUGCUCUAGAGCCCAUGAGCCACAACUACUGAGCCCACGUGCCACAACUACUGAAGCCCGCGUGCCUAGAGCCCAUGCUCCACAACAAGAGAAGACACCUCAAUGAGAAGCCUGCACACCACAACGAAGAGGGGCCCCCACUCGCCGCAACUAGACAAAACCUGCACGCAGCAAUGAAGACCCAAUGCAGCCAAAUAAAUAAAAUAAAAAAUACAAAUAAAUUUAUAAAAAAAUUUGUUUCUUUUCCAAUUGAA